AGAGUUUGAUCAUGGCUCAGGAUGAACGCUGGCGGCGUGCUUAACACAUGCAAGUCGAGCGAGAGUCGCUCUGAUGACGCUUCGGUAGAUUCAGGGCGAGGAAAGCGGCGGACGGGUGAGUAACGCGUGGGAAACCUGCCCUUCACAGAGGGACAGCCGAGGGAAACUUCGAUUAAUACCUCAUAACGCAUCGAGGUCGCAUGGCCAUGAUGCCAAAGAUUUAUCGGUGAAGGAUGGUCCCGCGUCUGAUUAGCUAGUUGGUGAGGCAGCGGCUCACCAAGGCGACGAUCAGUAGCCGGCCUGAGAGGGUGAACGGCCACAUUGGAACUGAGACACGGUCCAGACUCCUACGGGAGGCAGCAGUGGGGAAUAUUGCACAAUGGGCGCAAGCCUGAUGCAGCAACGCCGCGUGAAGGAAGAAGGCCUUCGGGUCGUAAACUUCUGUCCAAAGGGAAGAAACCUGACGGUACCUUUGGAGGAAGCCCCGGCUAACUACGUGCCAGCAGCCGCGGUAAUACGUAGGGGGCAAGCGUUAUCCGGAAUUACUGGGCGUAAAGAGUACGUAGGUGGCCCUGUAAGCGUAGGGUUUAAGGCGACGGCCCAACCGUCGUUCGCCCUGUGAACUGCAGAGCUUGAGUGCUGGAGGGGAAGGCGGAAUUCCUAGUGUAGCGGUGAAAUGCGUAGAUAUUAGGAGGAACACCAGUGGCGAAGGCGGCCUUCUGGACAGUAACUGACACUGAGGUACGAAAGCGUGGGUAGCAAACAGGAUUAGAUACCCUGAUAGUCCACGCCGUAAACGAUGAGCACUAGGUGUCGGGCUCAUAAGAGUUCGGUGCCGGAGCAAACGCAUUAAGUGCUCCGCCUGGGGAGUACGCACGCAAGUGUAAAACUCAAAGGAAUUGACGGGGACCCGCACAAGCAGCGGAGCAUGUGGUUUAAUUCGAAGCAACGCGAAAAACCUUACCAGGGCUUGACAUCCCUCUGAAAGAUCUCUUAACCGAGAUCCCCCUUCGGGCAGAGGUGACAGGUGGUGCAUGGUUGUCGUCAGCUCGUGUCGUGAGAUGUUGGGUUAAGUCCCGCAACGAGCGCAACCCUUGUCGUCAGUUACUAACAUUUGGUUGAGGACUCUGGCGAGACUGCCGAGGUUAACUCGGAGGAAGGUGGGGAUGACGUCAAAUCAUCAUGCCCCUUAUGUUCUGGGCUACACACGUGCUACAAUGGUCGGUACAAUGAGAAGCAAAGUCGCGAGGCGGAGCAAAUCACCAAAACCGAUCCCAGUUCGGAUUGCAGGCUGCAACUCGCCUGCAUGAAGUCGGAGUUGCUAGUAAUCGCGAAUCAGCAUGUCGCGGUGAAUGCGUUCCCGGGUCUUGUACACACCGCCCGUCACACCAUGGAAGUUGGGGGCGCCCAAAGUUGGCUAAUUAAUCUGCUACCUAAGGCGAAACCAAUGACUGGGGUGAAGUCGUAACAAGGUAACCGUA
rnacentral:rRNA from 1 species